GAUGAACGCUGGCGGCGUGCCUAAUACAUGCAAGUCGAGCGAACGGACGAGAAGCUUGCUUCUCUGAUGUUAGCGGCGGACGGGUGAGUAACACGUGGAUAACCUACCUAUAAGACUGGGAUAACUUCGGGAAACCAGAGCUAAUACAGGAUAAUAUUUUGAACCGCAUGGUUCAAAAGUGAAAGACGGUCUUGCUGUCACUUAUAGAUGGAUCCGCGCUGCAUUAGCUAGUUGGUAAGGUAACGGCUUACCAAGGCAACGAUGCAUAGCCGACCUGAGAGGGUGAUCGGCCACACUGGAACUGAGACACGGUCCAGACUCCUACGGGAGGCAGCAGUAGGGAAUCUUCCGCAAUGGGCGAAAGCCUGACGGAGCAACGCCGCGUGAGUGAUGAAGGUCUUCGGAUCGUAAAACUCUGUUAUUAGGGAAGAACAUAUGUGUAAGUAACUGUGCACAUCUUGACGGUACCUAAUCAGAAAGCCACGGCUAACUACGUGCCAGCAGCCGCGGUAAUACGUAGGUGGCAAGCGUUAUCCGGAAUUAUUGGGCGUAAAGCGCGCGUAGGCGGUUUUUUAAGUCUGAUGUGAAAGCCCACGGCUCUACCGUGGAGGGUCAUUGGAAACUGGAAAACUUGAGUGCAGAAGAGGAAAGUGGAAUUCCAUGUGUAGCGGUGAAAUGCGCAGAGAUAUGGAGGAACACCAGUGGCGAAGGCGACUUUCUGGUCUGUAACUGACGCUGAUGUGCGAAAGCGUGGGGAUCAAACAGGAUUAGAUACCCUGGUAGUCCACGCCGUAAACGAUGAGUGCUAAGUGUUAGGGGGGUCCCGCCCCUCAGUGCUGCAGCUAACGCAUUAAGCACUCCGCCUGGGGAGUACGACCGCAAGGUUGAAACUCAAAGGAAUUGACGGGGACCCGCACAAGCGGUGGAGCAUGUGGUUUAAUUCGAAGCAACGCGAAGAACCUUACCAAAUCUUGACAUCCUUUGACAACUCUAGAGAUAGAGCUUUCCCCUUCGGGGGGCAAAGUGACAGGUGGUGCAUGGUUGUCGUCAGCUCGUGUCGUGAGAUGUUGGGUUAAGUCCCGCAACGAGCGCAACCCUUAAGCUUAGUUGCCAUCAUUAAGUUGGGCACUCUAAGUUGACUGCCGGUGACAAACCGGAGGAAGGUGGGGAUGACGUCAAAUCAUCAUGCCCCUUAUGAUUUGGGCUACACACGUGCUACAAUGGACAAUACAAAGGGCAGCGAAACCGCGAGGUCAAGCAAAUCCCAUAAAGUUGUUCUCAGUUCGGAUUGUAGUCUGCAACUCGACUACAUGAAGCUGGAAUCGCUAGUAAUCGUAGAUCAGCAUGCUACGGUGAAUACGUUCCCGGGUCU
rnacentral:rRNA from 1 species